ensembl:lncRNA
UGAGGCCAGAUAUGAACUCAGAAAGAUGAAUCUUUCUGACUGCAGACCUGCCACUCUAUCCAUUGUGCCCCCUCACUGCCUAGCCUGGGACAUAGGAGGUGCUUAAUAAACAUGGAUGGAUGGAUGGAUGGAUGGAUGGAUGGACUGACUGAACUGCAUUGCUUGUUCUGUAACCUUGAGUAAGUCACUUGCCUUCUUCCUCCUCUAUAAAGUGAAGGCAUUGUGCUCACGGAACUCUAAAGUCCCUUUUAAAAUCCUUUGGCAGGUUCCUUUGAUCCCAUGAUGAACGUUCCUUUCGGGUUUUGUUUUUAAUUCGGGCUUGGGCUAUGAGGUGGAGCGUCUUCUGCCCAGUUUGUCCAGCAGAUGGAGAUGGAGACCCAUUGUGACACCUCCUCCCUGAAGCGGGAAGCGGAUCUCCUAGUCUCCCUCCAGCUGCCUGUUCCCAGGGGUCCUGGGGCUGUUUCCUUGACAGGAGCUGGCAGCGAGUUUCAGCAAACCUCAGCCUUCCCCAAGGAGUGGAGGGAGCGUUUCACACCAGCACAGGAGACCAAGCUUAUUGAUGUUCUUUCUAACCUGUGGCAUCCAGACCUGAACACAGUUCUUCAGAUGGACUCGAAUCAGGAGGACCAAGUGCAGAGGAACUAUCACUUCCCUCUUCUUGGAACCUCUGCUUAUCUUAAUGAAAUCAAAGAUCACUUUGGCUUUUUUGACUUCUACAUCAUAUUUCUGAGACUUAUACUGAGCUUGCUGCUCCACCAAAAACUCCCAGAUCUUCUUCAGACAAAGUACUGUUUAACAAAGCUUCCUUGUGUUAUAGAAUUAUUUUUAAGUCAAAUGUAAGAAUUUACACGUUAACACUAUUAAAUUUCUUCUGAUUAGAUGUGGCCCCAUCCAUGUUCAGGGCUCACUGAACUAACUGGUCUGCUGAUCAGCAUUUAUAUUUUCUCUAACCAAGGAAGUAUUGAACAGCUAAAAGAACAUUAGUUUUAGAGUCAGAGAACCUGGGUUCAAAUCUCACCUCUGAUACUACUUUGUGUGACCUUGAGCAAGUCACUUAAAUUUUUUUAGUUUUGGUCUUCUCAUCUGAAAGACAAAGUGGUUGGAUUAGAUGGUCACUGAAAUCCAUCCUGCUCAAAAUCUAUGAACUUUCUUUAUGAACAAAAGUUUUGGUACAUCCCUUAAAAAAUAGACAAAAGAGGUUGGGUGGGAUUAGGUACUCUCUAAAUCCCUGUCAAUUUUACUGUCUGAGUAAAUAAUGAGAAAGGGGAAACAUCAAUAAUCCAAAAGAGUGGAUAGUCAAAGCCCCAUGCUCACCAUUUCCCCUCUACUUCACCAAAGUGGACAGAAAAAGGACUGUAUACAUACUCAGGAAAGUUAAUUCACUUGAGUCCCACUAAUUUGGAAUUAAUGAAUAUUUGGACAUAGAUCAAUCAUAUUUCACUUUAUACACUAUCUUUGAGAAACAUUUGCUAAGCAAAAUUAAUAGUGUGAAUAAGAUUGUUGAAUGUCAAUCCAUUUAAGAAGUCAGAUUAUUUCCAACCACUUAAAAAAUCCAUUUUGGCACCAACCAUUCAUAUUCAGCUAAAAUCCUGAUUAUGAAUGCCUCCCAUAUUUAUUAAAGGAGAUUCAGUAAGAACUCUCUCUUAACAAUACUUCGUUAUCCAUCAGUUUGUGUUACUGCAUGUACUUGCAAGUAAUAAAACUUAAUGUUUUCACUAAAUGAGACA